rnacentral:sRNA from 1 species
GUACGAAGGUGUGAUUAGGGAAAAGGCAACAAGCAAAGAAGAUUGUCCACAAUUCCUGAAAGGUAAAAAUUUCCACCAAUUUUGUAGCAAAAACAGUGACAUCAACACUCAAUCACUUGUUCUAUUCUGUUCUUCCUGCCACCCACAAAGGUUACUUCUCUUUUGUCCUUUAUGCUUUCUUCUGUUAUAUACAGUGCUGCUCCAAACAAUCCAAAUACAAAUGAAACUUAC